ACACUAUGAAAAAUUAGGAUCAUCUUCUCAAAGACCCAGAAUGGGCCUAGGAGCCAUGGAAAUUCACCCAGGAUGCUUUCUACCUAACCGGUCCAUGUCUAAAUAAAUUGCAUUUCAGCAUCCAAACCCCAGAAGUGUUGUGAGGAUAUAUGAUUUGCUGAUUACAUCAAGGAAAAUGUGUUCUAUUGGACAUCAGAUUUCAAAUAAUUCAAAAUUGUACUUUGAAGCAAGAAGACAGGAAAUGAACAAGGGCACAUACUUAGAACCCAGGACUCUGAGAACCAAGCUCCAAAUGCAACAGAGACAACACAUCAGUUCUUCAAAAGUACAAAUUAAUUCCAGGAGGGUAAUAGGAAACACAAGGCAUUAAAAUGAUACCAAGAUCUACCACCUGGUGACAGCUUAUCCUAGACACCUCCACAG